rnacentral:rRNA from 1 species
GACGAACGCUGGCGGCGUGCUUAACACAUGCAAGUCGAGCGAGGCCCUCCUUCGGGAGGUGUCCUAGCGGCGAACGGGUGAGUAACACGUGGGCAACCUGCCCUCAGCUCUGGGAUAACCCCAAGAAAUUGGGGCUAAUACCGGAUACGACCGCUGACCGCAUGGUCUGGUGGUGGAAAGAUUUAUCGGCUGAGGAUGGGCCCGCGGCCUAUCAGCUUGUUGGUGGGGUAGUGGCCUACCAAGGCGACGACGGGUAGCCGGCCUGAGAGGGUGACCGGCCACACUGGGACUGAGACACGGCCCAGACUCCUACGGGAGGCAGCAGUGGGGAAUAUUGCGCAAUGGGCGGAAGCCUGACGCAGCGACGCCGCGUGGGGGAUGAUGGCCUUCGGGUUGUAAACCUCUUUCAGCAGGGACGAAGCGAAAGUGACGGUACCUGCAGAAGAAGCACCGGCCAACUACGUGCCAGCCGCCGCCGUAAAAC